AAAUGUAAUUUUAGUCACUGAUUGAUUGAAAAAGAAUUCUUAAAUAAUAUAAUAAUAAAUUAAUCACUAUAACGUACAAUAGAAUAUUCAGUGUGGACGUUGAUGUGUAAUCCACCUAAAAGAAAAAACCAAAAAAAAUAUUAAAAAUUCAUUUGUCCAUAUAAUUGCAGCUGCUACAAACAUACAAAUGCUCAUAUUGGGCACAAGAAGAUAAGAAACGAGCCUUUUUUUCCCUUUCACCUUGCUCACACACUAGCUUUUUUAUUUGCAAGACAAACGUCUUGCCAUGUCAGUGUGGCAUAUUCUAAGCCCGCCUAAUGGACAAACUUAUGUCUGAUGGCACGUCAGUGUGGCAUGUCCACCAUGCAUAAUAAAGAUGAGAUAUCUAAAUGAUUGUCAAGAAAAUCGUCUAAUCAACUACCUAUAAUCUAUCUAUGUAUCCUGUCAAUCUUUUUGUAUUUUUGGGCCAUUAUUUUGUCCCAUUUAACUCUUCUUUUGCCGUGAUUUACAAGAAAAGAAGUGACAAGCCUUUUUAUUCUUUCACUCGAUCGCAUCUAGUUUUUUAAAAAAAAAAAAUUCAAGAGGGAGAUGGCACAAGAGCAAGAGGAGGAGGAUAGUUCUGUCUAUACAUUGGAAGAAGCAUUUACAACAGUUAGAUUUGGUAAAUUUCAGUAUAUGAUGAUGUGUUAUGCAGGUGUUGGUUUUAUUGUAGAAGCAGCCGAGACCAUGAUUCUCUCUUUUAUAGGACCUUCUCUAAGGUCUCAACGGACACUUUCUCCUACUUAAGAAAGCCUUAUCACAACUGUUGUUUUCGUCGGCAUGCUUAUGGGAGCUAUUUUUUGGGGCGUUAUCACAUACACUUAUGGAAGAAGGCAAGAACUUAAUCAAAAUGUACAAGUUUCUUUUUUUUUUUUUUUUGGUCUAGGAAUCAAUUUUAACAAGGAGAUCAAAACUUCUGCCUUCGAGCGGUGGAAACAGACUCUUGCAGAAAUGUAGGGAAGGGUCUUCUAAGUAUAGCAAUAGUGACAGCAGUGGCUGCAGCACUGAGUACCUUUUCUCAGAAUUAUAAUUGGUUGCUUGCUGUGCGUAUGAUGGUUCGAUUUGGAGUAGGUGGUGGACCUUUAUAUGGUUCUUGGUUUCUUGAAUUUGUGUCUUCACAAAACAGGGUCAUGUGGAUGAUUAUCUGUACCGGACUUUGGACAGUUGGAACAAUACUGAGGCUUCAUUAGCAUUGAUAUAUCCAACGUCUGUAAGGUCAACUGGUAUUGGAGUUGCAUCUUCUGUGGUAAGAAUAGGGGCCAUGUUUUCUCCUAUCGUUGUGGUGCAAUUGGUAAGAGGGUGCCAACAGAUGGCUGCAAUUAUAUCUUUUGAAGCAGUUCUAGGUAUAUCAGCAGCCAGUGUUCUGUUCAUCUCAUUAGAGACAAAGGGUAGGGAACUAAUUGAUUGCUUGUUGUCUAAAUGUUUGGACUUGUUUCAUUUUACUUGUAUUGAAGUUUCCUCUCCACAUUGGAGAGGAAAAGAAAUGAAACUAGGUUGGUAUCAUUUUCAGUAUGGACGGGUAUCUAUCUUUUUCCCUUUGUUUGUC